rnacentral:tRNA from 2 species
GCGGUCGUGGUGGAACGGCAGACACGCCAUCUUGAGGGGGUGGUGUCCCAUGGACGUGCGGGUUCAAAUCCCGCCGACCGCA